rnacentral:rRNA from 1 species
UUAUUUUACCAGGUUGACCUCGGAUCAGGUAGGGAUACCCGCUGAACUUAA